CCAGAACUUGCCAUCCACUGUAUGAGGGGCCCAAGUCACUGCGGGAAAACCAGCUUUCAUUCCAGACAUGGAAAUUCCUAUGUGCAAGAAUGAACGAAGUGCCAGUUGGUACUUGGCUGCAUUGCAGCUAUGAAAAAGUGAGAAGAGCAAGAAAACUUGAGGGUCCAUCCAAGGAGGAAGGAGCGCAAACACGCUCGCAAGGAUUGCAUUUUACUUUCUACAGGAGAGAAAAAUGCUGAAACAACCUAUUCAUAAUCUCAGAACAUAACCCCACAGAGAAGGCUAACAUAUGAUAAAUACACCAGAGGAGAAGUAAGAAGCAGCAGCUAUCAUACAUCUUGGCUUUGUCUUGCAACAGGAUCCCACAUGGUAUUUUCAUAAGCACACUUCGGAAACACUAAUUACACAAGAUUUCUAUGAGUUAACUGCAUAACUUGUAAAAAAACAAAUGCUGCAUUGUUUCAACAGAUCACUGUCAAACUGGAAGGGCAUAGUGACUGAAGUGUGAUUAAAAGUUGCCUUGGAGCUUUGAUGUUUGUUAAAUAUGCUCUUUCUGUUGUUAGUAAGACAUCAGCUGGAUGAAGUACUGUGUUAGCCCUGGGCUAACCUCAGCUGCAUAAUGUCAAGAAUACAGAGAAUGGAGAGCUUAAAAAAAUUAGAAGGAUUAAGUUGGAUCAGUCUAAAACAGAGGCAACUGCAGAGGUGCAAAGAUGAUUUUGAAAACGCUGAAAAGUGUUUAUAGAAAGAGGAGGCCAGUCAAGGAGUCAUGGUCUCUGACUAAAGACACUGAAGUGGAGCAUAAAUAAAAAUGUUGGCAGUGAAGAAAAGUAUUCAGCUAGACCCUCUAGGUAGGUUGUAAAAUGUUAAACAUUUUUUCUAUGGAGAUUAAGAAUGGGCUGCAUGGACAUUUGUUAAGGAUAAUAUAUGUGUGUAGCUGAGCUGUACUUGGGGAAUUUAUGUUGAUGUCAAAGCCGUGACACAGACACUUAUUCCCCCUGUUGUGUACUCUUGAUACUUGAUGCUGAACUGUAUGAUGUAGAGAAGGCCUUAGUAGGGAAACUAAAUACUCUGCAUCCAGUGUUGAUUCAGUCUCAUUUGCCUUGCUAUUCCUUUAUUACUGUGACUGACUUACCCACAGUGAAUAAAUGCAUUGUCUCCUCUGGUGAGGGGUUACCAAGUUACCAAGACAAGCCUGCAGACUUCUUGCACGUCAUGUUCAUCUUAAGAACUUCUAAUUUCUGAGAAGUAAUAGAACUUUUCACAUAUAAACAGAGGGAUGUUAGCACUGUAUCUGUACAGUAUUGCAUCAGUUGAGAUUCAUGUUUCUGACAGUAUGAGCCAGUUCACAAGAAUCACCAGGAAGCCCCACAGCAGACUCUCUUGAUUUUCUUGUGAAGGGAAAAUCUGUCCUACGUUGUCACUUGGGUACUUGUUCCCUGAAAGAAGGAAUUUACAUAAGUGACCUGAAAGUAACCACAUCUUUUUCUUAUGCAGAGAAAAGCUGCCUCCUUUUU